rnacentral:lncRNA from 1 species
CAGCACAGCACAGCACAGCACACACAGCACAGCACACACAGAACACACAGCACACACAGCACAGCACAGCACACACAGCACAGCACACACAGCACAGCACAGCACAGCACAGCACACACAGCACAGCACACACAGCACAGCACAGACAGCACAGCACAGACAGCACAGCACAGCACACACAGCACAGCACAGCACACACAGCACAGCACAGCACACACAGCACAGCACAGCACACACAGCACAGCACAGCACACACAGCACAGCACAGCACACACAGCACAGCACACACAGCACAGCACAGCACAGCACAGCACA